CUGUGGCUCAGUGGUAGAGCGUGUCCUUGGUAAGGACAAGGUCGCGAGUUCAAUUCUCGCCGAGGGCU
rnacentral:tRNA from 1 species